rnacentral:rRNA from 1 species
UACGGGGGGGGCAAGCGUUGUCCGGAUUUACUGGGCGUAAAGAGCGCGCAGGCGGUCGGAUAAGUCGAAUGUGAAAGCCCCUGGCUCAACCAGGGAGGGUCAUUCGAUACUGUUCGACUCGAAGGCAGGAGAGGGAAGUGGAAUUCCGGGUGUAGCGGUGAAAUGCGCAGAUAUCAGGAAGAACACCCGUGGCGAAGGCGGCUCUCUGGGACGGUACUGACGCUGAGACGCGAAAGCGUGGGGAGCGAACAGG